rnacentral:ribozyme from 1 species
CUCAAAUCAAUCAUCAUCGUCCCUUUCUUCUAGACGUCAACAAGAAAUGCAAGGUCGUCAGUCGUCACAGAAAAGAGGUUCCGAAUCAA